AUUUAAAUAGCUUAUAAUUAGAGCGUAGCAUUGAAGCUGCUAAAGAAACAAAUUGUUUUUAAAUA
rnacentral:tRNA from 1 species